GGGUUGUGAGGUUAAGCGACUAAGCGUACACGGUGGAUGCCCUGGCAGUCAGAGGCGAUGAAGGACGUGCUAAUCUGCGAAAAGCGUCGGUAAGGUGAUAUGAACCGUUACAGCCGGCGAUGUCCGAAUGGGGAAACCCAGUGUGAUUCGUCACACUAUCGUUAACUGAAUACAUAGGUUAACGAGGCGAACCGGGGGAACUGAAACAUCUAAGUACCCCGAGGAAAAGAAAUCAACCGAGAUUCCCCCAGUAGCGGCGAGCGAACGGGGAGCAGCCCAGAGUCUGAAUCAGCUUGUGUGUUAGUGGAACGGUCUGGAAAGUCCGACGGUACAGGGUGAUAGUCCCGUACACCAAAAUGCACAGGCUGUGAACUCGAAGAGUAGGGCGGGACACGUGGUAUCCUGUCUGAAUAUGGGGGGACCAUCCUCCAAGGCUAAAUACUCCUGACUGACCGAUAGUGAACCAGUACCGUGAGGGAAAGGCGAAAAGAACCCCGGCGAGGGGAGUGAAAAAGAACCUGAAACCGUGUACGUACAAGCAGUGGGAGCACCUUCGGGUGUGACUGCGUACCUUUUGUAUAAUGGGUCAGCGACUUAUAUUCUGUAGCAAGGUUAACCGUAUAGGGGAGCCGCAGGGAAACCGAGUCUUAACUGGGCGUUAAGUUGCAGGGUAUAGACCCGAAACCCGGUGAUCUAGCCAUGGGCAGGUUGAAGGUUGGGUAACACUAACUGGAGGACCGAACCGACUAAUGUUGAAAAAUUAGCGGAUGACUUGUGGCUGGGGGUGAAAGGCCAAUCAAACCGGGAGAUAGCUGGUUCUCCCCGAAAGCUAUUUAGGUAGCGCCUCGUGAAUUCAUCUUCGGGGGUAGAGCACUGUUUCGGCUAGGGGGUCAUCCCGACUUACCAACCCGAUGCAAACUACGAAUACCGAAGAAUGUUAUCACGGGAGACACACGGCGGGUGCUAACGUCCGUCGUGAAGAGGGAAACAACCCAGACCGCCAGCUAAGGUCCCAAAGUCAUGGUUAAGUGGGAAACGAUGUGGGAAGGCACAGACAGCCAGGAUGUUGGCUUAGAAGCAGCCAUCAUUUAAAGAAAGCGUAAUAGCUCACUGGUCGAGUCGGCCUGCGCGGAAGAUGUAACGGGGCUAAACCAUGCACCGAAGCUGCGGCAGCGACACUAUGUGUUGUUGGGUAGGGGAGCGUUCUGUAAGCCUGCGAAGGUGACCUGUGAGGGUUGCUGGAGGUAUCAGAAGUGCGAAUGCUGACAUAAGUAACGAUAAAGCGGGUGAAAAAGCCCGCUCGCCGGAAGACCAAGGGUUCCUGUCCAACGUUAAUCGGGGCAGGGUGAGUCGACCCCUAAGGCGAGGCCGAAAGGCGUAGUCGAUGGGAAACAGGUUAAUAUUCCUGUACUUGGUGUUACUGCGAAGGGGGGACGGAGAAGGCUAUGUUAGCCGGGCGACGGUUGUCCCGGUUUAAGCAUGUAGGCUGGUUGUCCAGGCAAAUCCGGAUAAUCAAGGCUGAGGUGUGAUGACGAGGCACUACGGUGCUGAAGUAACAAAUGCCCUGCUUCCAGGAAAAGCCUCUAAGCAUCAGGUAACAUCAAAUCGUACCCCAAACCGACACAGGUGGUCAGGUAGAGAAUACCAAGGCGCUUGAGAGAACUCGGGUGAAGGAACUAGGCAAAAUGGUGCCGUAACUUCGGGAGAAGGCACGCUGGUGUGUAGGUGAAGUCCCUGCGGAUGGAGCUGAGACCAGUCGAAGAUACCAGCUGGCUGCAACUGUUUAUUAAAAACACAGCACUGUGCAAACACGAAAGUGGACGUAUACGGUGUGACGCCUGCCCGGUGCCGGAAGGUUAAUUGAUGGGGUUAUCCGUAAGGAGAAGCUCUUGAUCGAAGCCCCGGUAAACGGCGGCCGUAACUAUAACGGUCCUAAGGUAGCGAAAUUCCUUGUCGGGUAAGUUCCGACCUGCACGAAUGGCGUAAUGAUGGCCAGGCUGUCUCCACCCGAGACUCAGUGAAAUUGAACUCGCUGUGAAGAUGCAGUGUACCCGCGGCAAGACGGAAAGACCCCGUGAACCUUUACUAUAGCUUGACACUGAACAUUGAGCCUUGAUGUGUAGGAUAGGUGGGAGGCUUUGAAGCGUGGACGCCAGUCUGCGUGGAGCCAACCUUGAAAUACCACCCUUUAAUGUUUGAUGUUCUAACGUUGGCCCCUUACCGGGGUUGCGGACAGUGUCUGGUGGGUAGUUUGACUGGGGCGGUCUCCUCCCAAAGCGUAACGGAGGAGCACGAAGGUUAGCUAAUCCUGGUCGGACAUCAGGAGGUUAGUGCAAUGGCAUAAGCUAGCUUGACUGCGAGCGUGACGGCGCGAGCAGGUGCGAAAGCAGGUCAUAGUGAUCCGGUGGUUCUGAAUGGAAGGGCCAUCGCUCAACGGAUAAAAGGUACUCCGGGGAUAACAGGCUGAUACCGCCCAAGAGUUCAUAUCGACGGCGGUGUUUGGCACCUCGAUGUCGGCUCAUCACAUCCUGGGGCUGAAGUAGGUCCCAAGGGUAUGGCUGUUCGCCAUUUAAAGUGGUACGCGAGCUGGGUUUAGAACGUCGUGAGACAGUUCGGUCCCUAUCUGCCGUGGGCGCUGGAGAAUUGAGGGGGCUGCUCCUAGUACGAGAGGACCGGAGUGGACGCAUCACUGGUGUUCGGGUUGUCAUGCCAAUGGCACUGCCCGGUAGCUAAAUGCGGAAGAGAUAAGUGCUGAAAGCAUCUAAGCACGAAACUUGCCCCGAGAUGAGUUCUCCCUGAGACUUUAAGUCUCCUGAAGGAACGUUAAAGACGAUGACGUUGAUAGGCCGGGUGUGUAAGCGCAGCGAUGCGUUGAGCUAACCGGUACUAAUGAACCGUGAGGCUUAACCUUACAACGCCGAAG
rnacentral:rRNA from 1 species